rnacentral:rRNA from 1 species
UUCCAGACUCCUACGGGAGGCAGCAGUAGGGAAUCUUCCACAAUGGGCGAAAGCCUGAUGGAGCAACGCCGCGUGAGUGAAGAAGGUUUUCGGAUCGUAAAGCUCUGUUGUUGGUGAAGAAGGAUAGAGGUAGUAACUGGCCCCUAUUUGACGGUAAUCAACCAGAAAGUCACGGCUAACUACGUGCCAGCAGCCGCGGUAAUACGUAGGUGGCAAGCGUUGUCCGGAUUUAUUGGGCGUAAAGCGAGCGCAGGCGGAAAGAUAAGUCUGAUGUGAAAGCCCCCGGCUUAACCGAGGAAUUGCAUCGGAAACUGUGUUUCUUGAGUGCAGAAGAGGAGAGUGGAACUCCAUGUGUAGCGGUGGAAUGCGUAGAUAUAUGGAAGAACACCAGUGGCGAAGGCGGCUCUCUGGUCUGUAACUGACGCUGAGGCUCGAAAGCAUGGGUAGCGAACAGGAUUAGAUACCCCCGUAU